GACGAACCGUGCGAACGUUAUUCGGAAUCAUUGGGCUUAAAGAGCGCGUAGGCGGCGACGUAAGUUGGAAGUGAAAUCCCAUCGGCUCAACCGUGGAAUCGCUCCCAGUACUGCGUUGCUCGAGGGAGAUAGGGGCCUGUGGAACUGCCGGUGGAGCGGUGAAAUGUGUUGAUAUCGGCGGGAACGCCAGUGGCGAAAGCGACUGGCUGGACCUUUUCUGACGCUGAGGCGCGAAAGCUAGGGGAGCAAACGGG
rnacentral:rRNA from 1 species